rnacentral:rRNA from 1 species
GCUCUUUUACCAGGGAUGAUAAUGACAGUACCGGGAGAAUAAGCCCCGGCUAACUCCGUGCCAGCAGCCGCGGUAAUACGGAGGGGGCUAGCGUUGUUCGGAAUUACUGGGCGUAAAGCGUACGUAGGUGGCUUUGUAAGUUAGAGGUGAAAGCCCGGGGCUCAACCCCGGAAUUGCCUUUAAGACUGCAUCGCUUGAAUCAUGGAGAGGUGAGUGGAAUUCCGAGUGUAGAGGUGAAAUUCGUAGAUAUUCGGAAGAACACCAGUGGCGAAGGCGACUCACUGGACAUGUAUUGACGCUGAGGUACGAAAGCGUGGGGAGCAAACAGGAUUAGAUACCCUGGUAGUCCACGCCGUAAACGAUGAUAACUAGCUGUCCG